GCGAGCGAACCGGGAAGAGCUCAAAUUUGAAAUCUGGCGUCCUUCGGGCGUCCGAGUUGUAAUCUAUAGAGGCGUUUUCCGUGCCGGACCGUGUCCAAGUCCCUUGGAAUAGGGUAUCAAAGAGGGUGACAAUCCCGUACUUGACACGACGACCGGUGCUCUGUGAUACGUCUUCUACGAGUCGAGUUGUUUGGGAAUGCAGCUCAAAACGGGUGGUAAACUCCAUCUAAAGCUAAAUAUUGGUGGGAGACCGAUAGCGAACAAGUACCGUGAGGGAAAGAUGAAAAGCACUUUGGAAAGAGAGUUAAACAGUAUGUGAAAUUGUUGAAAGGGAAACGAUUGAAGUCAGUCGUGUCCAUCGGAUUCAGCCGGUUCUGCCGGUCUACUUCCUUUGGACGGGUCAACAUCGGUUCUGGACGGCGGAUAAGGGCGGGAGGAAAGUAGCACCCCUCGGGGUGUGUUAUAGCCUCCUGUCGCAUACGUCGGCCGGGACCGAGGAACGCAGCUCGCCUUUAUGGCCGGGGUUCGCCCACGUACGAGCUUAGGAUGUUGACGUAAUGGCUUUAAACGACCC
rnacentral:rRNA from 1 species